rnacentral:lncRNA from 1 species
UCAGAUGCAUGGAUCUAAGAAGAAAAGAAGAGGAUCUUCUUAUUCUUCAAUUCUAUCAUGUUCCUCUCAAAUCAAUCAAUGGAUGGUGUCUUCAUGAGCUAGCACUCUCGGAGAGAUUGAUCAGUACCAGGACUUCAUGUGGAUAUCUGUAGAGGUCGGACACAUGUGUGGCUGUCAAGCAUCAUGAAAAACCAUCUAUCAUGAAUUUUGGAUGCGGUGAUCUACUAUCCACACUC